rnacentral:rRNA from 1 species
AGCGAACGCUGGCGGCAGGCCUAACACAUGCAAGUCGAACGGAUCCUUCGGGAUUAGUGGCGGACGGGUGAGUAACACGUGGGAACGUGCCCUUUGGUUCGGAACAACUCAGGGAAACUUGAGCUAAUACCGGAUGUGCCCUUCGGGGGAAAGAUUUAUCGCCAUUGGAGCGGCCCGCGUCGGAUUAGCUAGUUGGUGGGGUAAAGGCCCACCAAGGCGACGAUCCGUAGUUGGUCUGAGAGGAUGAUCAGCCACAUUGGGACUGAGACACGGCCCAAACUCCUACGGGAGGCAGCAGUGGGGAAUCUUGCGCAAUGGGCGAAAGCCUGACGCAGCCAUGCCGCGUGAAUGAUGAAGGUCUUAGGAUUGUAAAAUUCUUUCACCGGGGACGAUAAUGACGGUACCCGGAGAAGAAGCCCCGGCUAACUUCGUGCCAGCAGCCGCCGUAA